rnacentral:rRNA from 1 species
AGAGUUUGAUCCUGGCUCAGGACGAACGCUGGCGGCGUGCUUAACACAUGCAAGUCGAACGGUGAAGGGACCAGCUUGCUGGUUCUGGAUGAGUGGCGAACGGGUGAGUAACACGUGAGUAACCUGCCCCCUUCUUCUGGAUAACCGCAUGAAAGUGUGGCUAAUACGGGAUAUUCUGCGCCUGCUGCAUGGUGGGUGUGGGAAAGAUAUUGUUUCGGUGGGGGAUGGGCUCGCGGCCUAUCAGCUUGUUGGUGGGGUGAUGGCCUACCAAGGCGGUGACGGGUAGCCGGCCUGAGAGGGUGGACGGUCACACUGGGACUGAGACACGGCCCAGACUCCUACGGGAGGCAGCAGUGGGGAAUAUUGCACAAUGGGCGCAAGCCUGAUGCAGCGACGCCGCGUGAGGGAUGGAGGCCUUCGGGUUGUAAACCUCUUUCGCCAGUGAAGCAGGCCUGCUCCUUGUGGGUGGGUUGACGGUAGCUGGAUAAGAAGCGCCGGCUAACUACGUGCCAGCAGCCGCGGUAAUACGUAGGGCGCGAGCGUUGUCCGGAAUUAUUGGGCGUAAAGAGCUCGUAGGCGGCUGGUCGCGUCUGUCGUGAAAUCCUCUGGCUUAACUGGGGGCUUGCGGUGGGUACGGGCCGGCUUGAGUGCGGUAGGGGAGACUGGAACUCCUGGUGUAGCGGUGGAAUGCGCAGAUAUCAGGAAGAACACCGGUGGCGAAGGCGGGUCUCUGGGCCGUUACUGACGCUGAGGAGCGAAAGCGUGGGGAGCGAACAGGAUUAGAUACCCUGGUAGUCCACGCCGUAAACGUUGGGCACUAGGUGUGGGGGGCCUUUUCCGGGUUUUCCGCGCCGUAGCUAACGCAUUAAGUGCCCCGCCUGGGGAGUACGGCCGCAAGGCUAAAACUCAAAGGAAUUGACGGGGGCCCGCACAAGCGGCGGAGCAUGCGGAUUAAUUCGAUGCAACGCGAAGAACCUUACCAAGGCUUGACAU